UUUUGUAUUUUUAGUAGAGACGGGGUUUCACCAUUUUAGCUAGGCUGGUCUCGAACUCCUGAUCUCGUGAUCCACCCACCUCGGCCUCCCAAAGUGCUGGGAUUACAGGCAUGAGCCACCGUGCCCAGCCCCAAAAUUGAUUUUUUAACUAAAAUCCCCUAAAGUUAAUGCUAAUGACAGUAAUAGUUCCAGCUACCACUAUUGAUAAUCUACCUUAGGGUUUUCCCAACUUCAUCUUUCCCAUAGCACUUUUGUGAUUGAUUUCUGCUGUCUAUACAUUCAAACUAUACUAUAUAUAUUAUGCUAUAUUUACUUAGCAUUUAAAAACUACCUCCUGCCAGUCACAGUGGCUCACGCCUGUAAUCCCAGCACUUUGGGAGGCCAAGGCGGGCAGAUCACCUGAGAUCAGGAGUUCGAAACCAGCCUGGCCAACGUGGGGAAACCCCAUCUCUACUAAAAAUACAAAAAUCAGCCAGGCGCAGUGGUGGGUACCUGUAAUCCCAGCUACUCAGGAGGCUGAGGCAGGAGAAUUGCUUAAACUCGGGAGGCAGAGGUUGCAGUGAGCCAAGAUCGUUCCGUUGCACUCCAGCCUGGGCAACAGAGCAAGACUCUGUCUCAAAAAAAGAAAAAAAAACUACCUCCUUAUCCUUUUCACUCAAAUAUACUUAAAAAGGAAGCUACAGCAUAUAACCACCAACAAUGGAAAACCAUGGUCAUAUGUCAUAAUUAGAAAUUAAUUGUAGGCCAGACACAGCAGUUCACGCCUGUAAUCCCAGCACUUUGGGAGGCUGAGGAGGGUGGAUUAUCUGAGGUCAGGAGUUUCACACCAGCCUGACCAAUAUGGUGAAACACCAUCACUA
rnacentral:lncRNA from 1 species